rnacentral:rRNA from 1 species
AGCGAACGCUGGCGGCAGGCCUAACACAUGCAAGUCGAACGAACUCUUCGGAGUUAGUGGUGGACGGGUGAGUAACACGUGGGAACGUGCCUUUAGGUUCGGAAUAACUCAGGGAAACUUGUGCUAAUACCGAAUGUGCCCUUCGGGGGAAAGAUUUAUCGCCUUUAGAGCGGCCCGCGUCUGAUUAGCUAGUUGGUGAGGUAAAGGCUCACCAAGGCGACGAUCAGUAGCUGGUCUGAGAGGAUGAUCAGCCACAUUGGGACUGAGACACGGCCCAAACUCCUACGGGAGGCAGCAGUGGGGAAUCUUGCGCAAUGGGCGAAAGCCUGACGCAGCCAUGCCGCGUGAAUGAUGAAGGUCUUAGGAUUGUAAAAUUCUUUCACCGGGGACGAUAAUGACGGUACCCGGAGAAGAAGCCCCGGCUAACUUCGUG